UUCCAGACUCCUACGGGAGGCAGCAGUGGGGGAUAUUGCACAACGGGGGGAACCCUGAUGCAGCGACGCCGCGUGGGUGAAGGAGUAUUUCGGUAUGUAAAGCCCUAUCGGCAGGGAAGAAGCAAGACGGUACCUGACUAAGAAGCCCCGGCUAACUACGUGCCAGCAGCCGCGGUAAUACGUAGGGGGCGAGCGUUAUCCGGAUUCACUGGGUGUAAAGGGAGCGUAGACGGCCAAGCAAGCCAGGGGUGAAAGCCCGGGGCCCAACCCCGGGACUGCCCUUGGAACUGCAUGGCUGGAGUGCGGGAGGGGCAGGCGGAAUUCCUGGUGUAGCGGUGAAAUGCGUAGAUAUCAGGAGGAACACCGGCGGCGAAGGCGGCCUGCUGGACCGCGACUGACGUUGAGGCUCGAAAGCGUGGGGAGCGAACAGGAUUAGAUACCCCAGUA
rnacentral:rRNA from 1 species